CUCUCUCCAUUUCUCCACCUUUCUUCCAUCAAGUUUGAUUCUAAACUAGAGAAAAACAACUUUCUCAUUUUAUUUUAUUUUAUUUUCUCUUUCUCUUCAUCCAAACAGAGAGAGGAAAAAAACUAUCAAAUGUUCAAAAACCUAAGGCUGUGUUUGGACAUACGAAUAAAAUAUUCAACAAUAUUUCAUUCGGUAUAUAGAUUUUCUUGUGUGAUUGAUUGGAUCAUAGGAGUUUGAUUUUCUUUGCUCCUUGAACGGUUGUGGCAUCUUUGAUUUGGUAGGAUAGCAUAUUUACCUUCUGAAUAGAUGAUUUGAAGGCCGAAUAUAAUAUUUAUUCUAGACAUUCGAUGACACUUCUCAUCUACCAAAUAUUACAUGCUUCUGGAGUAAAUCGAAGGGAUUACAUGAAUAAGACGUUCGUGCAUCCAAACAUGAUCUUAAAAAUUUGAGAUCAGCGGUGCAAUUUACCCAAUUCUACACAUAUGAAAACAAGGCUCAGGCCCAGAUCUUUAAAUUGCAAAUUUCCAAAUUAAUUUCCCUAAAAGGGGUGUUUGCUUCCUCAAAAAAGCAAGAAAAAGGUGAUAUGUGGCGAUGGAUUGGGGCUCACUAAUGAGGCAUCGUUGUAGAAGUUUUUUUUUUUUUUUUUUUUAAAAAAAAAAAAAAAAAAGAAGGUUACGUAUAUGCUUCAUUAAUUUAAAUUUUUAGGGUUAGGAUUAAUGUUGCACUAGAAGUGCAUGGGAUGGGGGUUUUCUUAAUUAAGUAAUAAUUACCCGGUUAAUUAAUUAGAGGGGUUAAUAUUUUCCUAUGGGCCCAUUAUAUAUAUAUAUAUGCCUUUUGUUUUUGAAUUUACGUAGCCCACCCUUGCAAGUUUCGAAGUGCACUUACUUUGAAGUUGGCUUCGGAUCACAUAAUGAGAGA
rnacentral:lncRNA from 1 species